AACGAACGCUGGCGGCAGGCUUAACACAUGCAAGUCGAGCGCCCCGCAAGGGGAGCGGCAGACGGGUGAGUAACACGUGGGGAUCUGCCCAAUGGUACGGAAUAGCUCCGGGAAACUGGAAUUAAUACCGUAUGUGCCCGCAAGGGGAAAGAUUUAUCGCCAUUGGAUGAACCCGCGUCGGAUUAGCUAGUAGGCGUGGUGAAGGCGCACCAAGGCGACGAUCCGUAGCUGGUCUGAGAGGAUGAUCAGCCACACUGGGACUGAGACACGGCCCAGACUCCUACGGGAGGCAGCAGUGGGGAAUAUUGGACAAUGGGCGCAAGCCUGAUCCAGCCAUGCCGCGUGAGUGAUGAAGGCCUUAGGGUUGUAAAGCUCUUUCGCCGACGAAGAUAAUGACGGUAGUCGGAGAAGAAGCCCCGGCUAACUUCGUGCCAGCCGCCGCCGUAACAC
rnacentral:rRNA from 1 species